GCGACGUGGGGGGAUUUUGCGUGUUUUUUGUUGGUGUCGUUGGUUUUUUUAAUUGCUUUCCACUUUUCCCCGCUCCUGCGCGGCAGCCGAGCUAUGAAAAUAAGGUUGUGAGGAGGUCGAGCUGGAGUACUUUAAAGGUGUUGAAGCAGUCCUUUACAUCGCUGUCUGUGCUGUAACUACUUUUUUUUUGUUUUUCAGUGAUCUUAGUGAAACGCGAAAGUGUUUUGUGCCAUGGACUGGUCCGAAUAACGUAAGAACGUAAUGCUCAUGACAGAAAGCUCACUCAGGUUGAAUGGUCACUCUAAAAUCAGUAUAUCCAUGCACAGACAUCCUCGUUCCUGGCAAAGAAGUCUCUUGUGAGGGAAGAAGCUUGCCCAGUGCCUGGCUUUCCAUAUCCAGGAUGGAAAGUGUUACGUGUCAUAUCACCUUUCAUCCCUAAAGGAACAUGCAAGUUGGAUACUGCCUAAGUUCUUUUCCUGCACCAUUUGCAGUCCACUUAAUGAAGGGAAAAAAAUGCCCCUUUUCUUUAAUAUACUAAAGGAAACAGGGCAACAACUUCAUUUAAAAUCACUGAUAUUUAUAAGUUUUCAGAAGAAGUAACCUAGAAACUCAUUAGUUUGGACAAGCUACCAGGCAGGGGAAUGACACUGACUUUGAUGGUCAGUCUGAGUUGUCUCCCUGCUCUGAACCAAAAAAACCUUCAGUUGUAAAAAAAAUGUGUUUUUACUAUAGUUUUCAUUUCUCAUACUUGUUCCCAUGCUUAACUGUUCUAUUUCACAAACAGAGCAUGAGACAGUGUGAGGACAAGACUUCCACACAGACAGCUCUUUAAUGAAAAAGGUAUGUGGACUUCCCUUCAACCUAGCUAGCCCACAAGAACCGCUUCUUACAAAAGUUAUUUUUCUGCAGCAGGCUUUCAGGGGACUUCAAAUGGAUCUAUAAAACAGGGCAGAAGCACUUUUAGAAGCCAGUAGAGAAUGCCAUAGUAGCUGGUACUGUGCUUUUUAGAUGACAAGGCUUCUUUUAAGUUUGGAGCAUUUAAGAAAAGCAGCCCAAGUUAUUGAUGUGUACCACCUCCAAGGUGCUAUCGAGAUUCUUAUCUAAAUAGUGCUGGUGUUAUAGCAACAUUUGUCAAUUUCAAAUUGUUUUCACUUCUCCGAAUACAAGAUAUCUCUCUUUUAUCUGUAGACUAACACUGAGGCAUUUUCCAAGUUAUUAUCUCUCCCUUUUCUCCAGAAACAUCCACGUCUUUUUGAAAAUGCACUGCAGUUGUCUUGUGUAGUACUAUGUCUGCAUGCUCCAUUUCCCAGUGCUAUCGAAUAAAGUUCUCAUCCCAUUAUGUGGUGAGUUCCAUCAGC